AGGCUGUCCCCUCUGCCUGGCCUGACCCACUGACUGUAGGGGGCUUCAGAGCCACUUGGAGGAGAAGGGUGCUGGCAAACUCUUCCUGCCUAGCCAGACCCUUUUUCUUCUUUCCCUUCUGGGGAGACUUUCCCUAUUCUAGUCCCCGUGUGCAGAGUUGAAAGCCCUAGUCUGCUGUGGGGGAAGAGCUUGGUGGCUGUGUUAGAGAGUGUGGUUUCCAGCCCCGUGGCUGUGAUGGCUGGCCUGACUCGUUUGCGCAAAGCCCAUCUCUGGGAUCCGUUGUCUCUCCUGACUCACCUGUGUGGACAAACCGCCGUUGGGUUUUGCAGAACUUGAGCUUAUCAUAGUAAAAAGGAAGGUGUUCUAAACCGGCUGAAGGGAGAGCUGCUCCGCUCAAGCAGAGAAUUCUGGAGCAGCAAUGGGUAUCCUGGGUAGCCUAGGGAUCACCAUGGCAACACGAAAGGCAAUCCAAAGGGAGGUAGUGAUGGAACAGGCCCUCCUCCAGGCCGAGGCUGAAUCCCUGGCGUGAUUAGAAGGCGGAUUUAGGGUUAGAAAGUGAUCUGUAGACCCACAGCUGCCUCUAAUUUAAGGCCCCUCUCUCAGCACGGUUCUCAGGAGCACAGAACGGGCCAAGUCCAGUGCCUGCCAACCUCCUCCGUACCCUCCCUCUGGCUGCCAAAUCUGACUUUGAUUAGCGCGUGGAGGGGAAGAAAGCAGGAAAAUAGAAUAUUAAAAUCUUAAUUCAAUUUAAAACACUGUCAUUCACAGGCAUGCCAAACAGUGAGAUGACUAAUUAUUAUGCAAAUGAGGGAGAUAGAAAAGUGAUUAAUAAUUGCACAAAUUAAAAAUUAUUGUAAACAUCCUGUGACGAGCGAUAAGUCCGAUGAAGAGGCAAGGGCGGUGGGCCGGGGAGGCCAUGGAGGAGCCAGCUCCUGCAUCCGGUUUUCCUCAUUAGGGGGAUUUAAUUAGCACUCAUUGAUGGGGCUUGUGCUGCCAGGGUUGGGGAGGACGUGGCCAGCACCCCAGCUGUCUGCUGGUUCCUCAUUUCCUCUCCAGUUGCUUCUCACUACCCUGGGGUCCUCACUGGAAUAGGCUGAGCAGGAAGAGGAAGAAAGGUUGGCCACCAUGUGGGGCAGAUGCUGUGCAAGCAGUCCCACUGCUUUUCUCAAGCCGCGACCACUGACCGCCUGUCUCUUACACCUUCUGGCCUGGGUCAGGAGAGAAAAGAGGCUCCUUGACACAGAAAUGUGGAGAUAUCCUGGUCCAACAAGCAAGUAGUUCUAGUGAAGGGACAGAGGGGGUCCUAUUAUGUGCAUGCGUGCGUGUGUGUGUGUGUGUGCGUGUGCAUGUGUGUAUACACACCUGUGAACACAUGUGCUUGUGUGUGUAGGCUGGAGGACAAUCUUGGUGUCAUCUCAGAGAACUUGUCCACCUCCUUUGAGACAACAUCUCUCACUGGCUUAGAACUCACUAAUUAAACUAGACAGACUGGCCAGCCAGCCCCAAGGACCCUCCUUUAUUUGUCUCUUAUGCUGACUUAUACAAGUGCCACACUCAAGCCGUUUUUACUGAUUGCAGGGUUUGAACGCAGGUCCCUGUGCAUAUAAGGCAACUUCUUUGCGAACUGAGUCUUCGCUUCAGUCCAACUGACAUACUUUUAUCAAAAUUUUACCAGCCACAGCUUCCUCCUACCUUGAUCCCUGGUCUCUGGCAGAUGGGGCUGGGACCGGGUGAAUGGCUGCUAUCUUUGCUCUCCUAUGUAAAUCCCUGGGCCUUAGGGGAAUGGCUCCAAGGCUAGACCUGGAGCUCUGUAUGUGUGUGUGUGUGUGUGUGUGUGUGUGUGUAAGCCGUUUAAGCGCAGCUGCUAGCUGAGUUUUCCUUCUCUAGAGCCUAGUACUGGCCAUUGCUUACUCUUGCCCCUGCUGGUUGGACUCCUCCUGGGUUCUCAGUCCAUCCUUGACUUCUGCCUUAGUGUCUUCCUGGGCUCUUCUGAGACAGCUAAGGAUGAUGGGAUGUGGUAUAAAUCUCAUCCUUGGCUGAGUUGUCGCAGCUCUCUGGGUCUGUUCAUUUUUUACAAAAGUUGGGUUGGGGAUAGCCCAGGGUUUUGCCUAAUCUGUGUAAGGCAAGGGUUUGAAUGGAAUUGCCACAGGUAAAUAAAUAAGAUGGGGAAGUGCCUACAAUUCCAUGGGACGUUCCUACCCCCUUUCCUCAUUCUCAUCCAUUCUAUUUGCUAGGUAAGACCUCAUUUCUCUGUAUCGCAUGCUAGAGGUGCAGUCAGUACUUGGUGUCCAGGACCUUGGAGCACUGGGAUGAAGGAUGACCCUACCUUCAUCCCAGAGAUGAAGGAUGGCACAAGCCUAGGCCCUGGGGUGAGAGAAUAAAAGAAGUUCAGAGAUGGUCAAGGGGCUGGGGGAAGGCUACACUGGGGAGUGGAGGGGCCUGUGCUUUAUUAUGGGAGAUUUUGGUCUGUGUUGAGGACCUGGGCAGUAAAGAGAGGACUUAAUGUUGUGGAAGGCAUAAUUAGAAUUGGCUUUGAAAGCUCACAUCAACUUCGUUGUGAAGACAGACAAAGUGGGAGGUGGGGUCUCCACUGGUCCUCACCCAGACGUCAUAGCCAUCUGCAAGAAAGACAUGAGCUCUGACCACUGAAGGAGAGACGGCAGGAGAGGGAGGAUCUGAACCGUGUGCAUGUGAGGGUGUAAGGUGACACUGGCCACGGCCUUCUGCGGGAAAGGAGGGGUGACCACCUCGUGACACCUGGUAUCUUUCCCUCAGGAGUGGUAGGUGCUGGAUUAGAAUGUCAGCUAAAGGUAGGGUCUUGCCUUCCACACCCUCUCUGCUCCAACUCCUCAGGGAGGGGCCAAGGGAGGUGAAAGCAAGAAGAGUUGUAAACACUGAGCACAAAGUCUCUCUGGGGACAGUGAACUUGGGACUAGAAAUUCACAAGCUGAUGCGUGUGAGCCGGGCUUGGCUGUGGAAUGACACCACGGUGAACGUUAAGAAUCCACAGACGAGGGAGUGUGGGGCCUAGGAUCUGUCCCUCCCGUCUCAUACACUCAAACAUGAAAUACACUUCUCUCACUGUCGCUGAACCUCUCUUGUAGAGUCUGCAGACUUGUGGGCAGCUUGCUCCAUGGGGGUGACUUAGCCCCAGAUAUCACCCUUGAGUUGUGUAUAUGGUGUGGGUGUGUGGAGAAAAGCUGAGUGAGAAGACCUGGCUGGCCUUGUGAGUAGACGGAAGUCUUGUUCCUUCCAUCCCUCAGGGAUGGGAGGCAGGAAGGGGAGCCAAAAUAGCCACAUGACUGUUGCUCUUUUUCAAUUACAGUGAAACCCCAGGUAAUCGACUGCUAAUAUCCUUGUUAACUGAGUGUCUUAGUUAGGGUUCUACUGCUGUGAACAGACACCAUGACUGAGACAACUCUUAUAAGGACAAUAUCUAAUUGGGGCUGACUUACAGGUUCGAAGGUUCAGCCCAUUAUCAUCAAGGCGGGAACAUGGCAGCAUCCAGGCAGGCAUGGUGCAGGAGGAGCUGAGAGUUCUACAUCUUCAUCUGAAGGCUGCUAGCAGAAUACUGACUUCCAGGCAGCUAGGAUGAAGGUCUUAAAGCCCACGCCCACAGUGACACAUCUUUUCCAACAAGGUCAUACCUCAAAAUAGUGCCACUCCCUGGGCCAAGCAUAUUCAAACCAUAACCCUGAGUUUAUGGCCACCCCAGGAAAACUGGAAAACAAGGGCCAGAAGUUUAAGAGGAGCGCUCUAUGGUGCUAUGGCUGCCUUGUGUCUGGUUCGAGCUGGAGAGGAGAAAUUGCGGGAGCUUGAGGUGGGAGGGCAUGUGAAGGAUUCUGAUGGGUCAAAGAGGUUGAGAGGCACAUGGGUCCUUUUAGCUGCUUCAGCUCUUAGGAACAAUGGAGAGGUUUGUGCUAGCUAGCCUAGGGUGUUAUCCUGCUGGGACUGGCCAUUUGUUGGUUCCUCAUAACCUCAGUCCUAUUGAGGGGCCCUUUCCCAACUCUAUUCGUUCUCCAGUGAAGGGAUAUGACAUAGAUUUAGUGAGGAAAUCAACUUCUGAAUGGUUGAAAUGUUAAGAGUUAAGGACCUGUAACAGGUGUCUUCAACUUAAAAGAUUUAUUACUUACUCAUCUGGCAAACUUUUGAAGUGUAGCCCAGGACUUAAUGAUGCAGAGACACGGAAGAUACAGUCUCUGCCCUCAAGGGGUGAGACGCUCAUGGUCAGAGUCAAUCAAGUAAAAUAAUAAUUACGGCAUAUGCUAUGCAGAAAAGAGGGAAGAAAAUAGCUAGCUUUGUAGGGGAUGGAGGAGUAGGGAGGGUGUGUUAAGGAAGGCUCUCCAGAGGAGGGGGCAUCUACGCUGAACUCUGAAAGAUGUAGAGGAGUCUGCAGGCAGGUGAGAAGGGGCAAGAGGACCCAUCAUAACGGAAUGAGUAGCAGAGACAUGAGAGGCCACUCAUGCUAGGGAAUGGGGGUAGUCAGAUGUGGAUACAACCCAGGCUGAAUGUGGGGUGCCGAGGUGGUCCCAGAAAGGGGAGCGGAGGCAGGUCCUGAAGGUUUGCAAGGAUUCCUUCUGAGAGAUAAUGCUCUUUGUCCGUGUAACUCGGCUGGUUAGGUUUUUGUUCUGCUUCUUCCCAACUCGACUCGAGCUAGGGUCAUCUGAGAAGAGGGACCCUCAACAGAGAAGGUGCCUCUACCAGAUUGCCUGUAGGCAAGGCUGUGUGUGGGGAUGGUUUCUUGAUUGGUGACUGACAUGAGGGGGCCCAGCCCACUGGCGGUGUGGUACCACCCCUUGGCAGGUAGUCUUGGGGUGUACAAGAAAGCAAACAGAGCAGGUCAUGGGGAGCAAACCAGUAAGAGCGUUCUUUCACGGCCGCCUCUUCAGUUCCUGCCUCCAUGUGCUUGCUUUGAGCUCCUGUCCUCAUGACCCUGAAUGGUGGAAUGUGAAAUAAAAGUUUAAGCCCCCUUUUCCCCCAAAUUGUUUUUUGUCAGAGUUUAUCACAGCAACAGGAAAGCAAACUAGAAUGGAAUUGGGGUGAGGGGCACACCCACAUUAGGUCCCAGAAGGCUUAGCAAGGAGCUGCCCAGUCCCCUGCUUUCCUACCUGAGUUUUUUUUAGAAAAACAUUAGUUGUUCAGGGAGGGACAUACAGUGUCCCACAGUUCUUAGAGACCAUUCUGGAAACAAGGUGUCUGUUCUCAGAGUAGAGAAGACUGACCCUUCUCCAGGGUAUGGGAGGGUGUGGUGGUGGUGGGAAGCCAAAACUCAGAUUGAGGCUGGUACUCCGCUACAGGGGCAUUCUCCUUUCGCUCUCUGAGGUGCCCACCUCCCUUCCCACACCAAAGCCUGGGUGAGGCCUGAGCAGAGGGGACUUGUGUGACAACCAUAGGCUCAUCAUCCCAGGUAAGAAGCCGUCCAGGAAAACCCAUUCUAAGAUAGGACCAAAGUUGCCCUGGGCAACCUCUCCUAGCAACAAGCAUUGCCCCCAGCAGCGGAGGUGGGCAGCACCUCUAGCUUUAGGAAGGCUGGAACCGUGCUAGAUCGCAUUCUCUGAACCAAGACAAACAGCCGCCAAGCUCCAUCUCCUAAUGAAACUGUUGGAUGUUAAUUAAUUAUGCAGCUGUCUCAUUUGCAUGCACGGGCUGUAGCUCCCGGCUUCCCUCCCCCCCUUCUUCUGUCAGGAGCCCUGUUUGCAUGGGGGUGGGGGGUGGGGAGCAGAUACUUGGUACCAUAGGUGUGUGCCUGCCGGUUGGUUCCAUCAGGAGGCUGAUUUGAAAGGGUGCUGAUGAAGUCACAAAGUGAAGCGCACAUUGCAAGCACUUGAACCAACCCAAGAAGCUACAACCCUUGAGUUCUGUCUUAUUCUUUUCCUUGACUGACCAAUUAAUUGUUAAAUUACUGACAGGGGUUAACUGUGGACUUCAGUGGUCUCUCCUAUAUACUGGGAAGAACCCUAGUACUUCAGAGGACUAUAUCUUAUCUAUCUUUCUAUCUCUCAUGUUGGAUACACAGGACAUAUAAAGAGGGUUGGAUUGAAUGACUGACUGAAUCAAAAGAUGUUAACAAGAUUCCGUGGGAGCUCACUUUUCCAAGGUCCCCAGUUCUGCCUGCUACGGUUACAGACCCACUGACCUCCCACUGGUCAUAGCUUGAUAACAUCUAGUGUGUGUGGUGUCCAGAGGUCAUCGUGGAUACCUGCAAAGCCAUGGUGGCCCCAGGCUCUGACCUUAAGAGGAGACUGGCUAGAAAGAGGACUGGUUCUGGUAUCAUGCUAAGCCCUGGGGAAGGAACCCCAAGUCUGUGGUGCUGUGGUGACUUCUGUGGUAAAGGUUGCAUGAUUCUGGGUAGAAGGUGGUGUGAGGGCUCUGGGAAGCUAGUUGUAAGCUUUUUAGGGAGGAGGGCAAGAAUACCUUUAGCAAUGGGCUGUUUUCUCUCAAAUGUACACAAGUUCCUGAAAUCCCAAAAUGGUGUUGAAGACCCACUUAGGAUUGGAGAUAAAAGGAUUCUGGGCCAAGAAACCAGAAGCUUUAGAGAGAACAGAGAGAAAAAGAAAGGAUUCCAGGCAUAGGGGGAGCCAAAUGCUUGCCCAGAGCCAUGAGAUCUUGGCUGAAUAGAGGUGAUGCCAGGAACUGGUGCUUAAGGAAGGGCUUUCAGUGGAAGGCAAAGGGGCCUCAACUCGGUGGGAGGCUCUCAUAGUUCAGGGACAGGAGCAGGAGUGCAGGAGGCACGGCGGGCCCGUAGGAAGUGAGACAGGUGAGAGGUGAGACAGGGAUGUCAGUGAGGUUGUCCCUGCAGGUUCAUACAGGGCAGUGAAACACACCAAAAGAUAAGAAUGAAGACCUGGUGCAGAUCGUUUUCCUCAACCCGGAUCAGGCUUCAGGGAGUCUAACAGGCGGUUAUCCCCAACAUACUUAAGCACAAUAUAAUUUGGACAAAAGUUUCCUGGCGUAAUACCAUCCCCACUGCACAAGGACACAUAAUUACAUUGAAACUCAAUGCAGGGUCCAUGUCAUUUCUUCCGAGAAGAUGGGCUCUAGAGAUAGGUGACCUGUGCCAGCUUAAGGGCCUCAGAGUCUGGCCUGGGCUCAGUCAUAGAGAUAGCACAGAGGUCACUUGGAUUGUUAGCCACCCUGGGCCUGGCUAUAAGAGUCAUUUAAAUUACUAGCCACCUCUGGUUCUGGUUGUAGAAGCUUCACAUGGCCUGGUCCAACAGAGGACACAGAUCAUCAGGCUGUUAAAUCACCUCCAGGCCUCAGCUUUGUAGAUGGGAGAACAAAUGGGUUUUUGGUCCUUCCUACUGGAAGGACAGUCCUGUGUGCUUAAUAUUCCUGGUUUCUCUGGAGAUCUGUGAUCUCAAGGACCUUCAUGCUAUGGCCCCCAUGUGAGCCCUCGGGUUUCAGUGAGGGAGGAACAUGGAGUCUGGGGCUUCCCUCAUCACCUCAGCCUUCAGAGAGAUGGGUGUCAUAGCAGCCAGCCUGAGAUUGAAGAGGUGGGAGCUAGCUUCUGGGAAUGUAGUGAACAGAAGGGUGGGUGAGUGGGGACUUGCUCCUGACCUGCCUCUAGAUGUCUAGUUUGGGGUAAACCAUGUUUCCUCUGUCUCAGUUUCUCUUCUCUUCUCUCUCUCUCUCUCUCUCUCUCUCUCUCUCUCUCUCUCUCUCUCCUCCCAGAGUUCUCUGUGUAGCCCUGGCUAUCCUGGAACUCACUCUAUAGACCAGGCUGGCCUUGAACUAAGAGACCCAGCUGCCUCUGCUUUCCAAGUGCACCAUUAAAAAAACGUGAACCACCACUGCCCGACUUUAUUUCUUCUCUUUCUCUCCCUUCUUCCUUUCCUCCUUCCCUCACUUUUUUCCUUUACAUUUUAAAAUAUUUGAGACAGUCUGUGGAGCCUAGGUUGACCUCAAACCCAUACUAAUCCUCCUGCCUCAGCCACCCGAGUGUUUGGAGUUCAGGUGUCAGUCAUCAUUCCUGGCUGACCUCGGUUUCUUGUUCUGUAAAAUGGGAUAACUCACCUCCUAUCCCUUGACCUACUCAUUGACCUAUAUUCAUCUAUAUUUCCACCCACUCGUCUAUUUGCUGAAUGUCACCUCUAUGCCCUGUGUGAGCUGCUGAGCAUACAUGACCGUGCCUUCCUUAGAGUGAGAGUUGGCCAAGGAAGAGAGAUAGUCGUUAAAUGAUGGUUGUUGAUGGACUGUGUGAAGACCAAACGGAUGGCACUCCGUGUGAAAGGCAAAAGCUCCACCUAGCUAGAAAUAUGUUAUCCCAGACGCUCGGCUAGAUGGGUGCUAGAGAGAUCUCCAGUUUGUUGGGUUUAUAACUCAAUAUUGAGCGGAACACCUCUUGCCCCAUCCCUAUUGUCUACCUCAGCCCACUCUGCCAUCUGCCCCCAGCCUGCAGCACAGCUGUGCCUUCUCCACAGGCGGGAAAGGAAGUCAGUCAGGGUCUGGUGAGGGGUAGGGUUGGGGGUAGCUGAGUUGAUUGCUGCUAAUCAGCAGCAUUGAACCUUAGCCCGGCUGAGGAGGUGUGGAAGAGGGGGACACUAGGUGGGCAUGUGGGUGCUCUUGCUAAGGGUGUUUUAGGCCCAAGGGUCUCCAUGUGUCCCCUUGGCUGGGCCACUCUCUGGCUGUGCCCAGAUGACAUCAGAGUAGAGGAGGUUGUGCUAUGGCAGAGGAGGAAGAUGGCUCAGAUGGGAAGGCCUGGCAGCUCUGUUUUCCCUAGAUCCACGGAGGCUGCUUCCCAUCCUCAGUGGCUUCGUCUCCAGGCUUCUGUUUGGGCUACUCCAUGCAGGAGACACCCCCCCCAAGCCCCCACCACCUUCAUCCCAUAUGUCAUCGUCUUCUCAGACUCAGGUGGCCAUCUCCUCCCCCAGUCUACUCAUGCUUGUGUGGAAGUAGUCUCUUCCUAAUGCUCAUAGCAUGGACAGGCAACCUCUAGGCCAGGAUCCCUCUUGCCUGGCAUGCACCUGUAGGAUUUUCACGUCUCUCUCGUCUCUCUCGCAGCAAAUGGCUAAUCUCUUUUGUAAUACAACUUCUGGUCUCUCAGGCAUCCUUAGGGAGGUCCCCAGUUAAGUCCUUUCUGCAUAUACUGCAUCUCAAAUAAUGCUCUGUAGUUACUAAAACACACAGGGGUGUUAUGUUUUUGGGGAUUUGCAAAGGCCAUGGAAGUACGGUCCCAUUCUACAGAUGAAGAAAUGGAGGCUUUGACAGGCUAAUGCUUUUCUCAGAACCAGACAGACAGGUUGGAGGAAUAGCUCAGUGGUUGAGUGCUUGUCGCUUUCAGAGGACCUGAAUUUUAUUCCGAGAUCACACAUCUAGCUCACAUGUCUAGCACCCACCUCUAGCAGACACCCACGUCUAGCACCCACAUUGUGUGGCUCACGACCACUUGUAAUUCCAGGGGCUCUGACACCCUCUUCUGACCCCAGCUGGCAUCUGCAUGCAUGUGUGCAUACACAUAUACAUAAAUAAAAAUAAAUAUGUAUAUAAAAACAAACAAAAACCCCAAAACAAAAAGCCAGGGAUCAGUAGACAGACUUCAAACUCAGAAUCUUUUGUUCUACUAGACGAAGUAGAGAAUUAUUUGGGGGAAUUGUUGCGAAGAACAUAUUCAAGGAACUAAAUAAUACUAAUUAAAUAAUAAUGAGUGAUAGAAAUAAUUAAGCUGGGUGAUGGUGGUCCACAUCUUUAAUCCCAGCACUCAGGAGGAGGUAGCGGGUGGAUCUCUGUGAGUUCAAGGCCAGCCUGGUCUACAGAGUGAGUUUCAGGACAGCCAGAGCUACAGAGAGAAAGGCUGUCUUGAAAACCAAAACAAAACCAACCAACCAAACAAACAAACAAAAAAACAAAUGAAAAAGGCAGGACUUAACUGCUGUUGUUUCUUAACUCUUUCUGUCUGCUAUAUACCACUGUGUAGAACCAGGGAUGUACUUGGUCUCAACGUGUUGAAAAAGGAAAAGGGGCUGUCGAGGAAGCUCGGCAGGUAAAGAGACUUCCAUGCAGUCCUGACAACCUGAGUUUGAUCCAGGAUCCCAUAAGGGGACAGAAGAGAAGUAACUCCUGGUGUUGUUUCUUUUCCUUCCAGUCGGAAUCCAUCUUUUGUACAUAAAAAGACAUAUAAGUUCACACACACACACACACACACACACACACACACACACACACACACACACAGGGAGAUGAUCUUUGCUUUGAGAAUAUCAUAAAAAAGUCGAGUGCAUUUAUCCUUAUGAAACUAUCACCAGGGAUAAUGGAGAUGGCUCAGUAGGUAAGGGUCCUCGCUGCCUACCGUGAUGGUUCUUGCCUGCAAAGCCUGAUGACUUCAGUUCAAUCCCUUGACCCCUCAAGGUGGAAGGAAAGAAUUGACUCUUGUAAGUCGUCCUCUGAUCUUCAUGAGUCCAGUCUUUUCACUGGUGGGAACCUGUUUCAGGGCUUGCAUCUGAUUGUAACCUUCUGCUUGGGUGCCAUAGAUUCAUCCAAGCGUUUCUAGCUGAAUGGAUUGAAGGGGAAGGACUCAAGGGCACAUUGUGGUGUUCUGGCUUUAGUGGCAAACUUGGCUUCAGUGUUUUGUUCCAUGAGGUUGUCUCGUCCAAGUGACUGCUGUAUAGGACUCACGUUUGAGAAAGAUGGAAGGUUCCCCCAGGCCCAGCACCUCCAGGAAAGUGUUUGACUCUUUUUCUUCCCAGAAGAGCCAGGGUGCUUGGGCGAGCGCCCCCUGGAGCAUGGGCGUAGGUUCGUGAGCAGAGAGUCGGCAGCAGGUUCCUAGGCUUGGCCUGGUGUGAGCCACGGGGGCCUUAUCUCGCCAUUAAUGGUUUUCUAAAUUGGUGGCAGUGGAGCAAAAAACCCAAUUUGCGCCUGGAGCACGCAUGAUUACUAUUGUAAUAACCUCAGCUAAUAAGAAUAUGAUGUGGGGCUAGGCUGCGAGAGAAAACACAUUUCUCAUUAGCUCUUGAUUAAUUACUCUACAUAAUUCUUAGUUGUGGUGGCCAAGGGGGUGGGUGUCGCCAUCUCUUAGCCUCACUUUAACCCCAGCAUCUAUGGGGUGUGGGGUUCUCGUGAUUGCUAGCAGCCACCAGGAGGGGCAUUUCCUACUUCUCUCUGCUCUUUCUCUGCUCACCUACCUUCCCUGUCUUCUCUCACUGCUCCUUCUCCAGCACUGUUUCCUUCUCCUGUUUCUCUUUUAAUGCCCCCUCCCCCCCCCGCACCCGCACGCACUUUCUUUUUCUUUCCCACCCUCCUUUUUUUGAGGUCUCCUAUAUCUUAGGCUGGCUUCGAACUCACUAUACAGGUGGCCAAGGAUGAUCUUGAACUCCCCCUACCUCCUCUGGGGUUGCAUGUGUGUAUCAUCAUGAUUGGUUUUAUUCGAUGAAAGCACUCUACAGAUCUACACCUGGGGUUCACCAUCUACACUCUAGCUUCCCCUUAGCCUUCCCUUAUCCUCAUAGGAGUCUGGGUGGGCACUGGGGAGAAAGGUCAUUUGCGUGUUCCCUCUGUCAAAGGGGCCUUGCGGGAGCAAGCAAGAACUGUCUCCGGGGCUCCUGGCGCCAUCCUUACGUGGUUACCCGGCAGUUCCACCACGACCCUUCCCUGCCACUUCUGACGUUUCACGGGCCAUUGUUUGAGGCCUAAUUGCCUGCUAGUACGAUCGGCUCGCACCUCCUUCCAGCCAUCUGGUCCGUGGCUCCUGCUGUUCAGGCCGAGAACAAACAGCGAGCCCCGGGCGGUGCUGCAGCUCUUUGUGCGCGCGCGCCAAACUGCCGCAGUGUAUUGUCUCGGCCGGGGACAACAGGCCUGUUACUAAGAUGGGUCCGGUGGGCAGAGGGACACACAGAGUUCGCCUGGUGACGGGGCUGGAACCGGUAGGCGAGCGCCCGUGGAUGUAGGAAAACCGGGAAGACCAGCAUUCUGCACGGUCUUCUCCCAGUCCUCCAUCGGGUCCCCGCAACUCUCUCCGCUCAUCCUCUGACUCCUUCCACGGCCUCCUACGCCUCCGGGCAAGAGGAACUCUCGCUAGAGAGCCAUGUAAAAAUAGAUGUAUUUCUGGAUACGCAGCGAGCCUGAAAAACGGCUGAGCCAGAGUCUGCUCCGCUGACAGAAGAUCUAUGUACCGAAUUCCUCUUCAAAAUCUAUUUCUCCGGAGAUUUAUUUUUGCAGGGCUCUGGUGAGCCAGGGGAAGUUCACACAAGCACCAGGCCGCUGUGCGGCCACUGCUUCCUGCCUGCACCCGGGACCUCCUUCCUGGUGACUGUUUCCCAGCGUGAGCAGUGAUCGAAUUAGGAGGCUGCUGAUAGGCCUGGGCAGGAGUUGAAAAGUCAGGGCUGAAAUGCAAGAGAGAUUUGAAUGGCAAAAAGGUCAUUCUCUUGCCGUACCCUGGCGGGGUCGGAAGCCUGUGAGACACCGCACGACACCCAUCCCUGCGGCUUGGGAGAAUAAGUGAUCGCUAUAUUUAUGUCUCCAUCUAAAUGCAUGGAUCAAAGCAGACACUUUAAUCUAUUCAACAACAGCCGGAGGAUUAAAAAGUUGCAGGCAAAUCACACUCUUAAAUUGGUAAUAUAUUUUUGCUUGUCACUUCACAAAUCAUUUUACAGAGUGACUCCAGGCCUGAUGGAAGAUCUGAGGACUUGAACUUAGCUCGUGAAUCUGGAGAGACUCAGCCCCCUCCCAGGUGUGGCAGGAACCACCUCGUUUGCUCCAGUUUCUUGGGCUCCAGCUGCAGUGGAUUAACGUGGGUCAUCGAGCUCAGGGUCACCCUGGCAAAUCUCUCUCUUUAUUUAAAGACUUAUUUUUAA